AUGAACGCUGGCGGCGUGCCUAAUACCUGCAAGUCGAGCGAACAGACGAGGAGCUUGCUCCUCUGACGUUAGCGGCGGACGGGUGAGUAACACGUGGAUAACCUACCUAUAAGACUGGGAUAACUUCGGGAAACCGGAGCUAAUACCGGAUAAUAUAUUGAACCGCAUGGUUCAAUAGUGAAAGACGGUUUUGCUGUCACUUAUAGAUGGAUCCGCGCCGCAUUAGCUAGUUGGUAAGGUAACGGCUUACCAAGGCAACGAUGCGUAGCCGACCUGAGAGGGUGAUCGGCCACACUGGAACUGAGACACGGUCCAGACUCCUAAGGGAGGCAGCAGUAGGGAAUCUUCCGCAAUGGGCGAAAGCCUGACGGAGCAACGCCGCGUGAGUGAUGAAGGUCUUCGGAUCGUAAAACUCUGUUAUUAGGGAAGAACAAAUGUGUAAGUAACUAUGCACGUCUUGACGGUACCUAAUCAGAAAGCCACGGCUAACUACGUG
rnacentral:rRNA from 1 species